CCAGUGGCGAUGUGAUGACGUUUUCUGCAGUCUGUUCUUGAUGGAUGAUGAAUUUUUCUUCCUGUCUCGGGCAUCAUCUGAAGACCAAAAGAAACCCGUCAACCGGUCAGAAGGCAGAGGGUGAGCAAAAUGACCAAUAAGAACCUACCCGCCAGCCGCUACCCUGUCUGCUAGCUUAUAAUCCUCGUCCGGAAAUUCAAAAGCAAUCUUGAGGCCUUCAAAAUCAAAGCGAGCGUGCGAUUGAAACCCGCCUACUGAUCGAAGUCGGAUUUCCCUAUGCGUGAAACCCCGUUGAAUCAAGGAACGUACAGAAACGUAAACAAACAACAAAGGUUAACUGUCGGACAGAAACAUUCUGAGUGAUCACUAGAAUGAUGAGGGAGGAGCCGCCGCCUGGCAUCAACAGACAGUUUGGCGAAAAGCGGUGGCGACAUCUCGACUGGCUUACUCGAAUGCACCGUUCAUCGAAAAUUGCCUCCACCGGAGAACAAACGACACAUGGAAAGUCAACUCGGCAGCAAGAAACAGGAAUCUUUUUCUUCCUCGAUAAUUAGAGUAGGUACCUUGCACCAGUAAUUAUUUUUACAAGCGUUCAACUGCUGCUCUGGAAAACUUUUCCGCAAAACUUGACGGCGGCACCGCGUCCAAACACAUGUGUAAAGCCGUAUGAUAUUCUUGUUUAUUGUAAGGAGAGAAAAACCUCUUUGCCCUCACAUCUCCCCUGUGAAAAAUAAGGAGGAGAAGGUGAAAAAAAAAACGAAACCAACAGGGUGAGAGAUUGCAAUCUUUGUUCAACCAACCGACCAUCGGACCAGAUUCCGGCGGCUUGCUUGCUUGCUUGCUUCUUAUUCCAAUAAACUCCAAAGAAAGCAAGCAGGAAAAAAGCGACCGGAUCAAAAGCUUCCCGAUCAGCGGCCGCCGCUUUACUCUCUUGGCCGGGGCAAAUACUUAUCCCCGGUACCCGCAUACGUAGUGUAUUGAAAAGAUUGAAAAGAGUGGUAAAAUUUCGUGGUGCUUCGGAAGCCCGGCCAAACGCCCGCUCGCUCACUCGCCAAACAACGGUAACUAAAUACUCUAAUUUAACGGCACUUUACCCAGUGUGCAGAUCUCUGCUCGCAUUAAAUCUUCGACUUUUCGAGGGAGCUGGAGGAAAGAAAAAAAGCGGAGAGGAAGCAAGGUGGCUCUUUAUAACUCGCCGGAUGGACGGAAACUCCUCCGGGAAAUUGUUGAACCCAGUGCGAGCAGAAAGCUUAUUGUUUAGAAGAUUUCUAUCAGAGAGAGGAUGAAACCGGAGGAUGAACAUUGGCAACACUGGCAAGUGGUUCAAAAUAGUGGGCUUCCUGCUUUUGGAGUCUUUACUCCCUAACAUACGAGUUCAAUUGAAAGUUUGAAGCAAAAAGAGGUUCAUCUAACCUCACUUUUCCCCCUCAAGUUCCGCGCGGGGUGUUAAAGCCGUGAUUCACGGUCAGGGCGUCGUCGUCGCCGUCCGUUGCGUUUAAGGCGACGAAUGCCCGCGCGAUGAGCGCGACUAAUUAUGCACGGUCGCGCGCGUCUCUGCGUUGCACAUCCAACUUCCAACAAGCGCAAGACGGCAGCAGCAGCCUUUUGGUCACCAAGCUCAGUUUUAGCUCGGCUCAACUCAGCUUUAGAGCAGUGUUACGGGUUCAAAUUAAAACGGGAUCAUAAAACUGUGUGCACCAUUUACCCGGGACCCUCCUUCAUUCUUGGGCGGCUUUCAGCACUUGUUGCUUAGUUGUUUUUGUGUUUUUUUCUUCUCCUUAAGUUCACGCGAGCCUAAUGGCGGCGACCACGGCAUGCCUAUUUUAUAUGGGUAAUACUUUGGCGUGUCGCUAGCAACACCUCACCAAAAGUUAAACCUGUUAAAAGUGUAGUUAGUUGCUCAAUAUAUGGGUCGCAUGGGUUCUAUGCAGUGUAGAUCAGAUGAUGAGGGGCAGCCCGAAGAACGACAUACUUACAUAAAUCGGGUUUCAGGUGAGAUCACACCCGGCCAAGUCCGGCGACGACUGAGGAGGUCUUGACUAAAACUAUCUACCGAUGCUGCCAUGGAGAUAAAACCGUUUUAGAGGCUCGGGUUGCUUGCGAUGAUUUUAGAGCAUGAUCUGGACGGUUUCACGAUCGAGUCCUUGGAAGAUGGCUCUCUUGAUGAGCAGUUAAAGUCGGGUUAUGCAGUUUUACUACGGCUAGUAACGUUUGUCCACUAGAUCAUUAACGGGUGCAUCGGAACUUGAGGUUUACAAUUCGGAUCUCAAAUUAUAAAUAACAAUUUUUUUUAA